AGAAUGGCAUUGAUUUUGACGUAAUUGGGUAACUAACAUUUAAGGCCCAUUUGAUCCGGUAAUACCCUUGGUUGGUGCAAGUAACCGGUGAAAGAUAGAAAGUUAGAUGACGUAAACAAAUUGAGGUAUGGCUAAUAUUUAAAUCACAUCUGAGUGAAUAUAAGGAACCACGUCACAUAUUUAUGACCACAUACAUAUGUUUCAGUGUUCUAUUCCACAUCACCGAAAUAAAACAGAUUUCUAACCUCACUCACAUACUCUAAUACUAAACAUUAUCCCAAAUCUAACCCAUAUAUACUAAACAUUAUCCAAAUCCCACCCCAACCCCUUAAUACUAAACCCUAAACCUUAAUCAAUAAACCCUAAACUCAAAUACAUAACUCUAAACCCAAAUAUAAAUUCUAAACCCAAAUAUAAAUUCUAAACCCAAAUAGAAUGAAACAAAAUAAAUAAUAUGGUAUAUAUUGGUAAAAUUAUGAAAUGUCUAUAAUUUCGUAGAAGAAGUUGAUGUUGAUCCCAACUAUACCUCCUCAUCUUCUAAAUACUAAACCCUAAACUAUAUUCACUAAUCCCUAAACUCAAAUAUAAACCAUAAACCCAAAUAGAAUGUAACAAAAUAAAUAGCAUGGUAUAUAUUGGUGAAAUUAUGAAAUAUCUAUGAUUUCAUGGAAAAGGUUAAUGUGACCCAACUGUACCCAACUAUACCUUAAACUUUAAUCCCUAAACCCUAAAUAUAAACCCUACACGGAAAUAUAAACCCUAAUCCAAUGUCAACCCCAAUAUUUCAUAAACUAAACCCGAAUGGAACAAAAUGAUGAAAUAUCUAUGAUUUCAUGUAAGAAGUUAAUGCUGAUCCCCCAACCAUAUCCCAUCACCUUCUAAAUACUAAACCCUAAAUUAUAUUCACUAAACUCUAAACUAAAAUAUAAACCCUAAACCCAAAUAUCAAAGUCUAAAAAAUUACAUAUAUUAUGUAAAAUUAAAUUAUAUUAUGUAAUAUUAAACUACACAAUCUAGAUCAUAGCACGAUAUUUACUUGUUCAAAAACUAUAUUUCUUAACAAAAUAAAACACUCUUUAGUAAUCAUCAAAUGGAAUGGAACAUGAUAAAAUAGAAGAGUAGCAGAAUAUAUCGCAUUUCAUAACAGGAAUAGAACAAACAUAACACAUAUUGUUUUACAUUUCUAUUCCAUAUGCGAAUAGAAUAGAACAAACAUAACACAUAUUGUUUUACAUUUCUAUUCCAUAUGAGAAUAGAAUAGAACAAAAUAAACAGACACUGUUUAUCUUCUCCGAUCAACUUCAUCCACGGCGAAAAAAUGUAAUUGUAUCUCGCAACAUCAGUGGAGAUAAUACAUAUAACCGUAUGAGAGAGACAGAUUUUGUUGUUGAUACAGUAAAUAGAAGAGUUAGGGUAAUUGGCUACUCAAUCAAUUAUGCUUUUUUGUAGCGUCAUCUCACCUAAUUUCCCAAAGAAAUAACACAUAUUAUUUGAUAUAAAAGGUCAACUGUUUCAAACUUAGCUCUUGCAUUUGCUUUUGUGUUUACUGUUAUAACAAAACAAAUCUAUUUUCUGAAUGUAAACAAAAAUUGUAUGAUGAAAACUAAAUUUGUAUAUAUUCUAAUUACAGUAGCUAGACCAGUGGUUCUCCAGUAAUUGACUUCUUCUCACAAAUAGUUUGUUUUUGUGAUUCAUCAAAAUUGUUUAGACAAAGAAAAAUUCAAGUGAACGACCAUGAAUCUCUCUUUUGUAUUGUUGUGAUGGUUUUUUUCUGUUCUUGUAACCUUCCUUAACCUAUUUUUAGGCUUUGUGAAAAAUGUAUAUAUACCCUUCAAAAUCCUCAAUCAAAACUCGCACUUCCUUCAUAUUCAUUUCUUUUUAGUUUUUUUUUUUCAUUUUUUCUUUACCUUGCCAUCAAAACAACCAUGGCAAGGAUCUCUCUGUUGUUAUUUAUAGCCGUGGUUCUAGCCAUUGGCUCCGUCUCAGCUCACCCACCUAAGAAAAUCAAAAAGAACUUAUGUCCACCUACAUUGUCCCAACUCCAAACUUUCCCCUCCAUCGAAAUCUCUAAGCUCAUCGAAAAGAAGAUCAAAUCCGCACCCAACACACCUCAGUUCAGCACUUUGUUCGCCAUCUGCAAAGGCUACAGCGACUACCUCGCUGUUUUCAAGGUUAAAGCCGUCAAGAGUGCGUUUGGUUCUAUUCAUACCAAAUUCGUUAUGAUGACUGAGGCGAUGUUUGCGGCUCAAGCAGCUGUUGGUGUUGAAGGUGAGCUUGCGUCUGGGGUGCGGAAGAGCUACAAGGUGAUGGCUGAUGGGUUUGUUGAGCUUGAGCAGAUGAUUGCUGAGAUCUCGGCCAAGUAUAAUUUCGAUGCUAAUGCUCAGAUAAGCAUGGCUGACAGGUUCAAGAUUGAGAAGUGUUUGAUUAAGUUGAAGGGUUACAUUAAUGUUUUCGUGAAGGUGAUCACUAAGUGCAGUGCCAAAUUCGCCGGGAAGCCGAUGGGGAACCCCGUUGUAGCCGGUAGCCUUUUCGAUGGUUUCCUCAAGAAGGGUGUCCAACUUGGCGGUAACUUCCUCGGAGCCAUCGGCGGUAAUGCCGGAGCCGGAGUCGGAGGUAAUGCCGGAGCCGGAGCCGGAGUCGGAGGCCUUGUUGGAGGCAUGGUCGGAGGCCUUGUUGGAGGCAAGGUCGGAGGUCGUGGCAGAGGCGGCAAGGCCGGAGGCAAAUUCGGAGGUAAGGUCGGAGGCCUUGUUGGAGGCGAGGUCGAAGGUCAUGCUGGAGGCAACGCCGGAGCUCAAGGCGAAGUUAUAGUCGAAGGUAAUGCCGGAGCUGGAGUCGAAGUCGGAGGCCUUGUUGGAGGCAAGGUCGGAGGCCGUGGCAAAGGCAAGGUCGGAGGUCGUGUGGGAGGCAACUUUGGAGCUCAAGGCGAAGUUAAAGUCGGAGGUCAAGCUGGAGCCGGAGGCAAGGUUGGAGGUCAACUAACAGAACAAGAUGAGUCCUAAAAAAAUCAAUAUCAACAUGAUACAACUAAAAUCAAUUUACGUACCUAGAAAGAGAUGAACCUUUUUUAAAAAAAAAAUUUAAAAUAAUAUCAAUUUAAAAAUCAUAUCAGUCAUAGAACUAAAAUGAAAACAACAAUAACUAAACACUAAGUAUAUAACUGAACAUAUAAAAAGGACUAGAGAAAGAAAACAUAUAAACAGGAAAAAGAUCUGAAGACAGCAAAAACUAAGAACUUAAUAUAAUUAAACAUAUAGAAAAAAUGACUGAGAACAUAUGAAUGGAAAAUACAUAUCAUACAAGGAACAAACCAAAAAUGAAGGAAAUUUGAUUUUAUCAUAAGUCCAAAUUUCAAUAACUAACUAUAUACACAAAAUUAUUGAACAUCAGAAAGCGGUUGGUAGGAAACGUUAAUAUUAAAAUUUAUAGAGAUUAAAAAAACACAUUUACUAAAUAUAUAUAAUAUAUUAUAAAACUAAUCGAAAUAAUACAUGAAAAUUAAUACAUGCCAUAAUAUUAUUAACAAGAUUUAACUUUAACGAUCCCAUAAUAUUUAAAGCUUCAAAUGAUAAUUAAUGAAAAUUAAAAUACAAAAAAACGUAAUACCACAUAAAGUUAAAAACUGAGAGCAAGAAAAUAACAUCAGAUAAUUUUAUUAUUCUCAUUUCUAAGUUUCAUGAAUUAUAAAUAUAUUGUAUAAUAUCAAAAUAUGGUACAAAUUAAUUUUUUUUUAAAAAAUCAUACUUCAAAUGUUUAGAAAAAUAUAUAAAUAAUGAAAAUUAUCUAACAAAUAAAAAUUUACAAAAAAUACAAACUUAAACAAAACAACUUAGAAGUAUUAACCGCGCGUAGCGCGGUAAGAAGCUCUAGUUAUUAUAAACAGAGAAAAAAAAGGAAAUGGAUGGUGCCUAUGGUAAAUGGUAAAAAGAUAAUUAAUACAUAAUAUACACAGAAUAUCAUAGUAAAACAUUUGCAAUGGUUAUAAACUUAAUUUCGUUGGUAGUUAUGUAUACAAAUCCUAAUUUCUGUAUGUAUUAACCAUUGUGUGGAUUUUUUUAAAUUGUAUGGAAUUCUUGUUUGGGUCAAUUAGCCAAAUAGCUAAAAUUUGAAGUGAAAUUAAGAGAAUGGCAUUGAUUUUGACGUAAUUGGGUAACUAACAUUUAAGGUCCAUUUGAUCCGGUAAUACCCUUGGUUGGUGCAAGUAACCGGUGAAAGAUAGAAAGUUAGAUGACGUAAACAAAUUGAGGUAUGGCUAAUAUUUAAAUCACAUCUGAGUGAAUAUAAGGAAUCACGUCACAUAUUUAUGACCACAUACAUAUGUUUCAGUGUUCUAUUCCACAUCACCGAAAUAAAACAGAUUUCUAACCUCACUCACAUACUCUAAUACUAAACAUUAUCCCAAAUCUAACCCAUAUAUACUAAACAUUAUCCAAAUCCCACCCCAACCCCUUAAUACUAAACCCUAAACCUUAAUCAAUAAACCCUAAACUCAAAUACAUAACUCUAAACCCAAAUAUAAAUUCUAAACCCAAAUAUAAAUUCUAAACCCAAAUAGAAUGAAACAAAAUAAAUAAUAUGGUAUAUAUUGGUAAAAUUAUGAAAUGUCUAUAAUUUCGUAGAAGAAGUUGAUGUUGAUCCCAACUAUACCUCCUCAUCUUCUAAAUACUAAACCUUAAACUAUAUUCACUAAUUCCUAAACUCAAAUAUAAACCAUAAACCCAAAUAGAAUGUAACAAAAUAAAUAGCAUGGUAUAUAUUGGUGAAAUUAUGAAAUAUCUAUGAUUUCAUGGAAAAGGUUAAUGUGACCCAACUGUACCCAACUAUACCUUAAACUUUAAUCCCUAAACCCUAAAUAUAAACCCUACACGGAAAUAUAAACCCUAAUCCAAUGUCAACCCCAAUCUUUCAUAAACUAAACCCGAAUGGAACAAAAUGAUGAAAUAUCUAUGAUUUCAUGGAAGAAGUUAAUGCUGAUCCCCCAACCAUAUCCCCUCACCUUCUAAAUACUAAACCCUAAAUUAUAUUCACUAAACCCUAAACCAAAAUAUAAACCCUAAACCCAAAUAUAAAUCCUAAACCCAAAUAUCAAAGUCUAAAAAAUUACAUAUAUUAUGUAAAAUUAAAUUAUAUUAUGUAAUAUUAAACUACACAAUCUAGAUCAUAGCACGAUAUUUACUUGUUCAAAAACUA
rnacentral:lncRNA from 1 species